GUACUCAUGUCAGCAGCACAUAUACUAAAAUUGGAAUGAUACAGAAAAGACGAGCAUGGCCCAUGCACAAGAAUGACAUGCAAAUUUACGAAGCAUUCCAUAAUAAA